CCUACGGGUGACAGCAGUCGAGAAUCAUUCACAAUGGGGGAAACCCUGAUGGUGCGACGCCGCGUGGGGGAAUGAAGGUCUUCGGAUUGUAAACCCCUGUCAUGUGGGAGCAAAUUAAAAAGAUAGUACCACAAGAGGAAGAGACGGCUAACUCUGUGCCAGCAGCCGCGGUAAUACAGAGGUCUCAAGCGUUGUUCGGAAUCACUGGGCGUAAAGCGUGCGUAGGCUGUUUCGUAAGUCGUGUGUGAAAGGCGCGGGCUCAACCCGCGGACGGCACAUGAUACUGCGAGACUAGAGUAAGGGAGGGGGAACCGGAAUGCUCGGUGUAGCAGUGAAAUGCGUAGAUAUCGAGAGGAACACUCGUGGCGAAGGCGGGUUCCUGGACAUUAACUGACGCUGAGGCACGAAGGCCAGGGGAGCGAAAGGGAUUAGAUACCCCUGUAGUC
rnacentral:rRNA from 1 species